CCCAUGAUUCCCUCUCGUCGUGAGGCACUGUGGGAACUUGCUCACCGCGGGAAGCGAAGUGUUUCGAAAUCUGGUCGCCAUGUUAGUUUACCUUGGUGAGCUCCUCCGGCUACGUGUGUGAAUUCGCCUUUACGUCUGCUGUACUCAUUCACACAAGCACAGCAAUGCCGUCAACAACUUCUCAUGGAUGCCAUUGUUGUAUCCCAUGCUGCAAGCACGUUCAGCUGCGCAACAGGGAUGUGUCCUACCACUCUUUCCCGAAAGAUCCUAGCCUCCGUGAGCAAUGGGUUCAAGCCAUCAUUCAAAACACAGCUUUGCCAGAACUGUGGCAGCCUAAGCCCAGCCAUAAGAUAUGUGGUGCACACUUCAAUGUCUGCGGGAAGAAACAAUACAUGGACAAGGUGCCACGGCUCCUGAAGCCUGGCACAUUCAUUCAGACAUGUCCAUCUCAAGUUGCCCAGUCUUCCCCUCUGGAUGUGUCUGUGGAGGUUACUGUGGAAACCUCCUUCGAGGAAGUGUCCAGCAUGAGUCUUGAAGAAGAUGUAUUGUCCUCUGAGUCUGAAC